GACGUAGGGCGCGAGCGUUGUCCGGAUUUAUUGGGCGUAAAGAGCGUGUAGGCGGCCAGGUAGGUCUGGUGUGAAAACUCGAGGCUUAACCUCGAGAUGUCAUCGGAAACCAUCUGGCUAGAGUCCGGAAGAGGAGAGUGGAAUUCCUGGUGUAGCGGUGAAAUGCGCAGAUAUCAGGAAGAACACCAAUGGCGAAAGCAGCUCUCUGGGACGGUACUGACGCUGAGACGCGAAAGCGUGGGGAGCAAACAGG
rnacentral:rRNA from 1 species